UGCAUUCACUACUGUAAGUCGCACUGGAUAAGAGCGUCUGCUAAAUGACUAAAA
rfam:Salmo salar isolate Sally breed double haploid chromosome ssa01, whole genome shotgun sequence.